CCAAAGGUCCUUUUAAGGGCCACCCAAACGAUUUAUGGAGCAAAAU
rfam:Takifugu rubripes chromosome, Chr_17